rnacentral:rRNA from 1 species
AGGGGCCUGCGUCCGAUUAGCUAGUUGGUGGGGUAAAGGCCUACCAAGGCGAUGAUCAGUAGCUGGUCUGAGAGGACGAUCAGCCACACUGGGACUGAGACACGGCCCAGACUCCUACGGGAGGCAGCAGCAAGGAAUAUUGCGCAAUGGGGGGAACCCUGACGCAGCGACGCCGCGUGGGUGAUGAAGGCCUUCGGGUCGUAAAGCCCUUUUGUUGGGGAAGAUAAUGACGGUACCCAGCGAAUAAGCCCCGGCUAACUACGUGCCAGCAGCCGCGGUAAUACGUAGGGGGCAAGCGUUGUCCGGAAUUACUGGGCGUAAAGAGCACGCAGGCGGUUCGUUAAGUCGGCUGUGAAAUUCUCCGGCUCAACUGGAGAGGGUCAGCCGAUACUGGCGGGCUUGAGGGAGGCAGAGGAAAGCGGAAUUCCCGGAGUAGUGGUGAAAUGCGUAGAUACCGGGAGGAACACCAGUGGCGAAGGCGGCUUUCUGGGCUUUUCCUGACGCUGAGGUGCGAAAGCGUGGGGAGCGAACCGGAUUAGAUACCCGGGUAGUCCACGCUGUAAACCAUGGACACUAGGUGUAGGGGGUAUCGACCCCUCCUGUGCCGUAGCCAACGCGAUAAGUGUCCCGCCUGGGGAGUACGGCCGCAAGGCUAAA